UACGAGGGGGGCAAAUGUCGUUCGGAAUCACUGGGCGUAAAGGGAGCGUAGGCGGGCUUCUAAGUUAGGUGUUUAAUCCCGGGGCCCAACCCCGGUCGUGCACCUAAAACUGGGAGUCUUGAAUAGUGGAGAGGUCAGUGGAAUUGGGGGUGUAGCGGUGGAAUGCGUAGAGAUCCCCAAGAACACCAGUUGCGAAGGCGGCUGACUGGACACAUAUUGACGCUGAGGCUCGAAAGCAUGGGGAGCAAACAGG
rnacentral:rRNA from 1 species